rnacentral:rRNA from 1 species
GACGAACGCUGGCGGCGUGCUUAACACAUGCAAGUCGAACGGAAAGGCCCUGCUUUUGUGGGGUGCUCGAGUGGCGAACGGGUGAGUAACACGUGAGUAACCUGCCCUUUACUUUGGGAUAACUUCAGGAAACUGGGGCUAAUACCGGCUAGGAGCUCCUGCUGCAUGGUGGGGGUUGGAAAGUUUCGGCGGUUGGGGAUGGACUCGGGGCUUAUCAGCUUGUUGGUGGGGUAGUGGCUUACCAAGGCUUUGACGGGUAGCCGGCCUGGGAGGGUGACCGGCCACAUUAGGACGGAGAUACGGCCCAGACUAGUACGGGAGGCAGCAGUGGAGAAUAUUGCACAAUGGGCGGAAGCCUGAUGCAGCAACGCCGCGUGCGGGAUGACAGCCUUCGGGUUGUAAACCGCUUUCGCCUGUGACGAAGCGUGAGUGACGGUAAUGUGUAAAGAAGCACCGGCUAACUACGUG